UCUGCUCAAUCGUCUCUCGGAAUCACUUAAAUCACUGAUAUGGCUUCAUCUGAUUCAUGAAAUUAAGAGGGCUUCAAAUGCGCUCAUUGGGGCGUGUGCACAAAAGUUUGAUUUAUCCGAUUAUGUAUGACGCAAGCUAUAAUUUAGGAUGCUAAAAGGCAAAAGGCGACAGACCCCGUUCACGCAUGCGAAGACCACUGAUCCACCGCCAUCCAUUGACUGGAGGACAAAUGGAGCCGUCAACCCUAUGAAGAACCAAGGCCGAUGUGGUAGUUGUUGGACGUUUUCAACCAUAGUUGGGGUGGUGGGAACAACUAAUUAACCGAAUCCAACACAUCCCGGUCCUGAUGAAAAACAAACACUACCACCAGUCAACCAUCGUAAGAAAAGGAAAACCCCAGCUGUAACGAAACCAUCUGUCAGUGAGUAUGACCCCCAGUGGAUUCCCCAACGACUUUCUGAUGUUAAACGGGUCGAAUUCAAUGGGUCGUCCAAGAAAAAAAAGGCUAAGAAAGUUGCUGAAAUGAACAUUGAUUCUUUAAAGGCUGUUGGAAAUGGAAGUAUCUUUAAACUGCGUGGUUUGGAGCAGAAUGUGACAGUUCGAGGAAAACAAUCUACUACUAGAAAGUAGAAAUCACACGCACAGUAAUCUAGGCUGGGAUUAACUUAAAUAAGCACAUUAUUUUUGACGGGUCCAACUCUGGUAGCACUGGAUGGAAGUGGAAAAGUAGAGGGAAGUUUGUUUAUUUUUCUGUUAAACAGGUGAGGAGCGACUUGGAGGUGUGUGGGCAGCCGAAUAUCCAACGCCAACAGUUCAAAUGCAAUAAUAAGCUCGCAGUCCCGAAGGUCAAUUUUUUUGUGAGGAGGGCCAUUAACGGCAAUAUCCCGACUGCUACGGCAUUGGCGACUAGAGGAGGGCAGAUUGGGGACGAGAACAUAGAACACUAGAUCAUGAUAUUGACUUAUAUAUGUUUUUUAUAUUGUUUUAUGGUUUGAAUUAUGCUCCUGCCCCUUAUUGUCGACUUCUCAGUAACGCGCGGGUUACCCACUAUUCAAUUAACGAGGUCAUGAUACUUACAAUUAAUUAUUAAAUCAAUAACACAUUUA
rnacentral:lncRNA from 1 species